rnacentral:tRNA from 1 species
GGAGGCGUGUCCGAGUGGUUGAAGGAGAUGGUCUUGAAAACCAUUGGGCUCGUUCGGGUCCCGGGGGUUCGAAUCCCUCCGCCUCCG